rnacentral:rRNA from 1 species
AGGAGCUUGCUCCUCUGACGUUAGCGGCGGACGGGUGAGUAACACGUGGAUAACCUACCUAUAAGACUGGGAUAACUUCGGGAAACCGGAGCUAAUACCGGAUAAUAUAUUGAACCGCAUGGUUCAAUAGUGAAAGACGGUUUUGCUGUCACUUAUAGAUGGAUCCGCGCCGCAUUAGCUAGUUGGUAAGGUAACAGCUUACCAAGGCAACGAUGCGUAGCCGACCUGAGAGGGUGAUCGGCCACACUGGAACUGAGACACGGUCCAGACUCCUACGGGAGGCAACAGUAGGGAAUCUUCCGCAAUGGGCGAAAGCCUGACGGAGCAACGCCGCGUGAGUGAUGAAGGUCUUCGGAUCGUAAAACUCUGUUAUUAGGGAAGAACAAAUGUGUAAGUAACUAUGCACGUCUUGACGGUACCUAAUCAGAAAGCCACGGCUAACGACGUGCCAGCAGCCGCGGUAAUACGUAGGUGGCAAGCGUUAUCCGGAAUUAUUGGGCGUAAAGCGCGCGUAGGCGGUUUUUUAAGUCUGAUGUGAAAGCCCACGGCUCAACCGUGGAGGGUCAUUGGAAACUGG